CGGAUGGGUGAGUAACACGUGGAUAACCUACCUAUAAGACUGGGAUAACUUCGGGAAACCGGAGCUAAUACCGGAUAAUAUAUUGAACCGCAUGGUUCAAUAGUGAAAGACGGUUUUGCUGUCACUUAUAGAUGGAUCCGCGCCGCAUUAGCUAGUUGGUAAGGUAACGGCUUACCAAGGCAACGAUGCGUAGCCGACCUGAGAGGGUGAUCGGCCACACUGGAACUGAUACACGGUCCAG
rnacentral:rRNA from 1 species